rnacentral:rRNA from 1 species
AUUGAACGCUGGCGGCAGGCCUAACACAUGCAAGUCGAGCGGAUGAAGGGAGCUUGCUCCUGGAUUCAGCGGCGGACGGGUGAGUAAUGCCUAGGAAUCUGCCUGGCAGUGGGGGAUAACGUCCGGAAACGGGCGCUAAUACCGCAUACGUCCUGAGGGAGAAAGUGGGGGAUCUUCGGACCUCACGCUAUCAGAUGAGCCUAGGUCGGAUUAGCUAGUUGGUGGGGUAAAGGCCUACCAAGGCGACGAUCCGUAACUGGUCUGAGAGGAUGAUCAGUCACACUGGAACUGAGACACGGUCCAGACUCCUACGGGAGGCAGCAGUGGGGAAUAUUGGGCAAUGGGCGAAAGCCUGAUCCAGCCAUGCCGCGUGUGUGAAGAAGGUCUUCGGAUUGUAAAGCACUUUAAGUUGGGAGGAAGGGCAGUAAGUUAAUACCUUGCUGUUUUGACGGUACCAACAGAAUAAGCACCGGCUAACUACGUG